GUGGGGAAUAUUGGACAAUGGGCGAAAGCCUGAUCCAGCCAUGCCGCGUGUGUGAAGAAGGUCUUCGGAUUGUAAAGCACUUUAAGUUGGGAGGAAGGGCAGUAAGUUAAUACCUUGCUGUUUUGACGUUACCGACAGAAUAAGCACCGGCUAACUUCGUGCCAGCAGCCGCGGUAAUACGAAGGGUGCAAGCGUUAAUCGGAAUUACUGGGCGUAAAGCGCGCGUAGGUGGUUUUGUAAGUUGGAGGUGAAAUCCCCGGGCUCAACCUGGGAACUGCCUCCAAAACUGCAUGACUAGAGUACGGUAGAGGGUAGUGGAAUUUCCUGUGUAGCGGUGAAAUGCGUAGAUAUAGGAAGGAACACCAGUGGCGAAGGCGACUACCUGGACUGAUACUGACACUGAGGUGCGAAGCGUGGGGAGCAAACAGGAUUAGAUACCCCAGUAGUCC
rnacentral:rRNA from 1 species